AGGUCGGAGGGAUAUUUAUACCCAUAUCCUUCGCGAGCUAUCCUUGACAGUAAAGUACUCCACAGUUGGUCAUGUUCAGUGACGAUGUACUCCUACAACUCACCUACAUGCCAUACUAGUAUCUCCACACCAUUUAAUUACAAGGAUAGUCGAUAUAUAUGGCACGCAACGACCUACACUUGAUAUCGCUAUCGUCCUAAAAAUAACGUAUCGUUUGAUUAUGAAUCAGUUUAAGGAUUACAUGA
rnacentral:lncRNA from 1 species